rnacentral:rRNA from 1 species
AUCGAACGCUGGCGGCAGGCCUAACACAUGCAAGUCGAGCGGAUGAAGGGAGCUUGCUCCUGGAUUCAGCGGCGGACGGGUGAGUAAUGCCUAGGAAUCUGCCUGGUAGUGGGGGAUAACGUCCGGAAACGGGCGCUAAUACCGCAUACGUCCUGAGGGAGAAAGUGGGGGAUCUUCGGACCUCACGCUAUCAGAUGAGCCUAGGUCGGAUUAGCUAGUUGGUGGGGUAAAGGCCUACCAAGGCGACGAUCCGUAACUGGUCUGAGAGGAUGAUGGGUAACACUGGAACUGGGAACGGGUCCAGACUCCUACGGGAGGCGGCGGGGGGGAAUUUUGGCAAAUGAGGAAAGGCCGGAUGCGGACCUGCCGGGGGGUGGAGAAAGGUCUUCGGAUGGUAAAGCACGUUAAGUUGGGAGAAAGGGCAGUAAGUUAAUACCUUGCUGUUUUGACGUUACCGGCAGAAUAAGCACCGGCUAACUACGUG